rnacentral:rRNA from 1 species
ACGCUCGACACCUACGGGAGGUAGCAGUGGGGAAUAUUGCACAAUGGGGGAAACCCGUGAUGCAGCGACGCCGCGUGAGUGAAGAAGUAUUUCGGUAUGUAAAGCUCUAUCAGCAGGGAAGAAGAUGACGGUACCUGAGUAAGAAGCCCCGGCUAACUACGUGCCGGCAGCCGCGGUAAUCUGAGCGGGCUGGCAAGGC